rnacentral:snoRNA from 1 species
AAGACUAUACUUUCAGGGAUCAUUUCUCUAGUUUGUUACCAUAUAAUGCCUGCCAUUGUGCUUGGGCUGUGGUGCUGGACCUCGGGA